rnacentral:rRNA from 1 species
UGGGGAAUAUUGGGCAAUGGGGGAAACCCUGACCCAGCAACGCCGCGUGAGGGAAGAAGGUUUUCGGAUUGUAAACCUCUGUCGCCAGGGACGAAAGAAAUGACGGUACCUGGUAAGAAAGCCCCGGCAAACUACGUGCCAGCAGCCGCGGUAAUACGUAGGGGGCGAGCGUUGUCCGGAAUUACUGGGCGUAAAGGGUGCGUAGGCGGUUUUACAAGUCGGAUGUGGAAUACCCGGGCUUAACCCGGGGGUGUCAUUCGAAACUGUAAGACUUGAGUGCAGAAGAGGAAAGUGGAAUUCCCAGUGUAGCGGUGAAAUGCGUAGAUAUUGGGAGGAACACCAGUGGCGAAGGCGACUUUCUGGGCUGUAACUGACGCUGAGGCACGAAAGCGUGGGGAGCAAACA